rnacentral:rRNA from 1 species
UACGUAGGGUGCAAGCGUUAAUCGGAAUACUGGGCGUAAGGCGUGCGCAGGCGGCUAUGCAAGACAGAUGUGAAAUCCCCGGGCUCAACCUGGGAACUGCAUUUGUGACUGCAUGGCUAGAGUACGGUAGAGGGGAUGGAAUUCCGCGUGUAGCAGUGAAAUGCGUAGAUAUGCGGAGGAACACCGAUGGCGAAGGCAAUCCCCUGGACCUGGUACUGACGCUCAUGCACGAAAGCGUG